AGUUUAAUUGUUGGGUCACAAGGUAAUUGCAAGUUUAAUUUCCAAAGAAACUAUCAAACUGUUUUCUAGAGUAAUUGUACCACUUUAAUUCCCACCAAUAAU
rnacentral:pre_miRNA from 1 species